rnacentral:rRNA from 1 species
AUUGAACGCUGGCGGCAGGCCUAACACAUGCAAGUCGAACGGUAACAGGAAGAAGCUUGCUUCUUUGCUGACGAGUGGCGGACGGGUGAGUAAUGUCUGGGAAACUGCCUGAUGGAGGGGGAUAACUACUGGAAACGGUAGCUAAUACCGCAUAACGUCGCAAGACCAAAGAGGGGGACCUUCGGGCCUCUUGCCAUCGGAUGUGCCCAGAUGGGAUUAGCUAGUAGGUGGGGUAACGGCUCACCUAGGCGACGAUCCCUAGCUGGUCUGAGAGGAUGACCAGCCACACGGGAACUGAGACACGGUCCAGACUCCUACGGGAGGCAGCAGUGGGGAAUAGUGCACAAUGGGCGCAAGCCUGAUGCAGCCAUGCCGCGUGUAUGAAGAAGGCCUUCGGGUUGUAAAGUACUUUCAGCGGGGAGGAAGGGAGUAAAGUUAAUACCUUUGCUCAUUGACGUUACCCGCAGAAGAAGCACCGGCUAACUCCGUG